UACGUAGGGUGCGAGCGUUGUCCGGAAUUAUUGGGCGUAAAGGGCUCGUAGGCGGUUUGUCGCGUCGGGAGUGAAAACUCAGGGCUUAACCCUGAGCCUGCUUCCGAUACGGGCAGACUAGAGGUAUGCAGGGGAGAACGGAAUUCCUGGUGUAGCGGUGAAAUGCGCAGAUAUCAGGAGGAACACCGGUGGCGAAGGCGGUUCUCUGGACAGUUCCUGACGCUGAGGCACGAAGGUCAGGGGAGCAAACGGG
rnacentral:rRNA from 1 species